UACGUAGGGUGCAAGCGUUGCCCGGAAUUAUUGGGCGUAAAGAGCUCGUAGGCGGUUCAUCGCGUCAGUUGUGAAAUUUCGUGGCUUAACUGCGAAAUUGCAUCUGAUACGGGUGAACUUGAGUACGAUAGGGGAGAUUGGAAUUCCUGGUGUAGCGGUGAAAUGCGCAGAUAUCAGGAGGAACACCAGUGGCGAAGGCGGAUCUCUGGGUCGAAACUGACGCUGAGGAGCGAAAGCGUGGGGAGCAAACAGG
rnacentral:rRNA from 1 species